rnacentral:piRNA from 1 species
UGAACAUUGGAGACCGAUGCC